rnacentral:rRNA from 1 species
UACGGGGGGAGCAAGCGUUGUUCGGAUUUACUGGGCGUAAAGGGCGCGUAGGCGGCGCAACAAGUCACUUGUGAAAUCUCCGGGCUUAACCCGGAGCGGCCAAGUGAUACUGUCGUGCUAGAGUGCGGAAGGGGCUACUGGAAUUCUCGGUGUAGCGGUGAAAUGCGUAGAUAUCGAGAGGAACACCUGCGGCGAAGGCGGGUAGCUGGGCCGACACUGACGCUGAGUGAGCGAAAGCCAGGGGAGCAAACGGG